rnacentral:rRNA from 1 species
GAGUUUGAUUAUGGCUCAGAUUGAACGCUGGCGGCAUGCUUUACACAUGCAAGUCGGACGGCAGCACGGGUGCUUGCACCUGGUGGCGAGUGGCGAACGGGUGAGUAAUGCAUUGGAACGUACCGAGUAGUGGGGGAUAACUGUCCGAAAGGAUAGCUAAUACCGCAUACGACCUCAGGGUGAAAGCAGGGGACCUUAGGGCCUUGCGCUAUUUGAGCGGCCAAUGUCUGAUUAGCUGGUUGGUGGGGUAAAGGCCUACCAAGGCGACGAUCAGUAGCGGGUCUGAGAGGAUGAUCCGCCACACUGGGACUGAGACACGGCCCAGACUCCUACGGGAGGCAGCAGUGGGGAAUUUUGGACAAUGGGCGCAAGCCUGAUCCAGCCAUGCCGCGUGUCUGAAGAGGGCCUUCGGGUUGUAAAGGACUUUUGUACGGGAAGAAAAGGUUGUGGAUAAUAACCCAUGAACUGAUGAACGNAACC